GAUAAACGCUGGCGGCGCACAUAAGACAUGCAAGUCGAACGGAAGUCGUUAUAAAACGGAUUGAAGAUUUAUCAGAUUGAAGUUUUAUAACAAUGGCUUUAGUGGCGGACUGGUGAGUAACGCGUAAGGAAUCUACCUGUUAGAGGGGAAUAACAAUGAGAAAUCAUUGCUAAUACCGCAUAUGCCAUAGUUAUCGCAUGAUAAUAGUGGGAAAGGAGCAAUCCGCUAACAGAUGAUCUUGCGUCUGAUUAGUUAGUUGGUGGGGUAACGGCCUACCAAGACGACGAUCAGUAGCCGGACUGAGAGGUUGAACGGCCACAUUGGGACUGAGAUACGGCCCAGACUCCUACGGGAGGCAGCAGUCGGGAAUAUUGCGCAAUGGAGGAAACUCUGACGCAGUGACGCCGCGUAUAGGAAGAAGGUUUUCGGAUUGUAAACUAUUGUCGUUAGGGAAGAAAAAAGACAGUACCUAAGGAGGAAGCUCCGGCUAA
rnacentral:rRNA from 1 species